AAGUCGUAACAAGGUUUCCGUAGGUGAACCUGCGGAAGGAUCAUUAUUACGUAUCCACGUAUCAAACCAAAUCGUGAACUGUUUCCCGUCUGAUGAGGAUUUCUGCGAGUGUUUGAACAUUUAUUAAUUGCAUGGUGAGGACUCCUAGUCGCAAGACUGGUUUCUUCGAAAUGGCACUCGGUCCUGGUUGCCCUCUCGGGGCUUCAGCCAGCUCAUUAGAUGUGGUUGAAUUUCAAUCACUAUGCUAAAACUAUUAACCCCUUGUAAAACACUUGAACUAAAUUACGGAGACCAAGACCCUUAACCAGGAAACUAUCUCUGAUAAACCGAAACUUAAGAAACAACUCUUAACAACGGAUAUCUUGGUUCUC
rnacentral:misc_RNA from 1 species